AAUUGGAGGGCAAGUCUGGUGCCAGCAGCCGCGGUAAUUCCAGCUCCAAUAGCGUAUAUUAAAGUUGUUGCAGUUAAAAAGCUCGUAGUUGAAUUUCGGGGUCAGUAGGUUGGUCAUGCCACAGGUAUGUACUGAUCUUACUGAUUCCUCCUUCCUGAUGAACCGUAAUGCCAUUAAUUUGGUGUUGCGGGGAAACUGGACUGUUACUUUGAAAAAAUUAGAGUGUUUAAAGCAGGCUAACGCUUGAAUACAUUAGCAUGGAAUAAUGAAAUAGGACAUCGCAUUCUAUUUUGUUGGUUUCUAGGAUCGAUGUAAUGAUUAAUAGGGAUAGUUGGGGGCAUUAGUAUUCAAUUGUCAGAGGUGAAGUUCUUGGAUUUAUUGAAGACUAACUACUGCGAAAGCAUUUGCCAAGGAUGUUUUCAUUAAUCAAGAACGAAAGUUAGGGGAUCGAAGACGAUCAGAUACCGUCGUAGUCUUAACCAUAAACUAUGCCGACUAGGGAUCGGAUGAUGUUAAUUUUUUAAUGACUCAUUCGGCGCCUUACGGGAAACCAAAGUGU
rnacentral:rRNA from 1 species